CUUGCCCACACAGCAGGUCCUGGGCCCGUUUUCUCUCCCAGGUCCUGCAGAUGGCAUGCCUUUGGCUCAUAAAACAUACCUUCCAUAACACUGGACCUGGCUGGAGCCUUCCCGGGUCAGCCUUACCCUGCAAAUCAACUACAGAAGAGCUUCUCCCUCCCUCUCCAAAUACGGAAAGAAAGAGAGAAAAGCCAACGCCCCUGGAGGCCCGUGGUGCUGGCCUCCCGCAGGGUCCUGGGAAGGGCGUCUGUAGCUCCUUCCCCUUCACAGGGACAGUGGGGAGCAUAGCGGCCGCUGGCAGGCGGUGAGGUCCCCGUGCUCACAUCCAGGGUGCUGCAGCCUCUGGUGGCCCUGGCACCGCCCUGCCACCUUGCCCAUCUGCCCCGCCAUGGGCCCCAGGUGGAACUUGAGCUUUGGCCCGCACUGGGCAGGAGAAGGAAAACUAAGGAAACCAGAACUGCCUUUGUCUUCCGUGAGUGGGGCCUCCCUGUGCGGCAGACCAGGCAGAGACAGGCAAUCCAGCAGCAACUCGGCAAAGCCAGGGCCCUGCUCGGCCAGGCCCUGGCCCUCCGGGUACUUCCUUCAACGUCCCUCACCCUGCGGGUCGAAGUGCUGACCAUGAAACCUGCUGAUCAGGAAGCAAAACAGAAAGCACUGGAAACCUGGCUCCCGGUGGUCCCUUGCCACUGCUCCUGUAAAGUCCCCUCAGGCCCACAUGGCACCACAUGAAUCAUUGACACCUGGGCUUCCUCUCCGGCCACUUGAGGGUCAAAUAGGACAGACCUGGGUGUCACUGGAUGCACCCCUGUGCUCCUCCGUUCCUCCUGCCCUCCUCAUUGCUCCUUUUGGGUCUCGAUGCUUGACCCUCCUGACACCUGGCUCUGGACUCUGUGUGUCCCCUUCAGCACAGGCGUGGUCUCUCUCCGUCCCUCUGCUUUGUGUUUCCCCGUCCCUAUCACUACUCCCCCAUCCUCAGUUCUCUGUAUAAAUAAAUUCAAGAAAUUAAAUAAAAUGAUAUUUCAGAA